rnacentral:rRNA from 1 species
GCGGUAUAAUGACCGUGCGAAGGUAGCAUAAUAAUUAGUCUUUUNAAUUAAAGGCUGGUAUGAAUGGUCGAACGAGAAAUAAACUUUCUUUACUAAAAAGAUUGAAUUUAACUUUUAAGUGAAAAGGCUUAAAUGUUCCGGAGGGACGAUAAGACCCUAUAAAGUUUUACAUUGAGAUUACUCUAAAAUGAUUUAAAUAAGAAANGUUUAUUAGUGAUUGGAGUGUUUUGCUGGGGCGGCAAGGAUAUAAAUAAUAUAACUGUUCUUUANNAGAAACAAAUAUAUUUGUUUCAGUGAUCUUUAGUUUAAAGUGAUAGAAUAAGUUACUUUAGGGNAUAACAGCNGUUAUUUUUUUUAANGAGUUCUUAUCAACAAAAAAGUUUGCNGACCUCGAUGUUGAAUUAAAG